rnacentral:rRNA from 1 species
GAUGAACGCUAGCGGCAGGCCUAACACAUGAAGUCGAGGGGUAGAGUUAGCUUGCUAACUUGAGACCGGCGCACGGGUGCGUAACGCGUAUGCAAUCUACCUUGUAGAGGGGGAUAGCCCAGAGAAAUUUGGAUUAAUACCCCAUAGUAUAAUAGAGUGGCAUCAUUUUAUUAUUAAAGUUCCAACGCUACAAGAUGAGCAUGCGUCCCAUUAGUUAGUUGGUGUGGUAACGGCGCACCAAGACGAUGAUGGGUAGGGGUCCUGAGAGGGAGAUCCCCCACACUGGUACUGAGACACGGACCAGACUCCUACGGGAGGCAGCAGUGAGGAAUAUUGGUCAAUGGAGGCAACUCUGAACCAGCCAUGCCGCGCGCAGGAUGACGGUCCUAUGGAUUGUAAACUGCUUUUGUACGGGAAGAAAAAGA